GCAUAUUAUUAGGCGGAGGAAAAGAAACUAACCAGGAUUUCCUUAGUAGCGGCGAGCGAACAGGAAUUAGCCCAGCGCUGAAUCCCUCGGCGGCUUUGCUGUUGGGAAUUGUAGCGUUAAGGAAAGUCGCUCCUUCGACUCUAGUUUCGUAAGCUCCCUUGAUUGGGACCCCGUAGAGGGUGGAAGGCCCGUAACGAAACGUUUGACGAAGGUAUGAUUUUCCAGAGAGUCGGGUUGCUUGAGAGUGCAGCCCAAAGUGGGUGGUAAACCCCAUCUAAGGCUAAAUAUGACCACGAGACCGAUAGCGAACAAGUACCGCGAGGGAAAGUUGAAAAGAACUUUGAAGAGAGAGUUCAAGAGGGCGUGAAACCGUUUAGAAGUAAACGGGUAAAGCCGCGAGGUAGUUGCAAAAAUCAACCAAUUUACUAGUCCCGCCUCGGUUAAAUCGACGUUAAAGCGUUUCGAUUGGGCGUCUAUGGGCUAGCGCGUGGUGCACUUUUUGUGACGAAGCAUUGCGACUAAAGCGAAUUUCGGUGAACGAGGGAACGUGAAGACAGAGCCGAGUGUUCUGUGACUAAGUUCCUUGUUCGGGUGUACCGAUAAGACGUUUUAGUGACUCGAGUAGUCGCCGUUUGGCUCGUGAAACUCUAGUCGCGGGUCGGUCGAAAUGUCCUUUCUAGCUCGCUGGAACGGACGACCCCCGGUUUGAGUCUAGGGUGUAUGCGAGAGACUACGAAGGUUCAGCAAUGUCCGUGGCGGCCGCUUACCCGACCCGUCUUGAAACACGGACCAAGGAGUCUAACAUGUGCGCGAGUUAUUGGGUGGUAAACCCAAAGGCGAAAUAAAAGUAAAGUCCGCGUCUGGCGUGUCUAGAUACGAUCCUCGACUCGGUCGGGGCGGAGUAUCGUCCCAUCUAUGUGGUUCGUCCACUGGGUGGAGAGAGAGCGUAAAUGUUGGGACCCGAAAGAUGGUGAGCUAUGCCUGAGCAGAACGAAGCCAGAGGAAACUCUGGUGGAGGUUCGUAGCGGUUCUGACGUGCAAAUCGAUCGUCAGACUUGGGUAUAGGGGCGAAAGACUAAUCGAACCAUC
rnacentral:rRNA from 1 species